rnacentral:rRNA from 1 species
GUGUCAGCAGCCGCGGUAAUACGGAGGGGGCCAGCGUUGUUCGGAAUCAUUGGGCGUAAAGGGCGCGUAGGCGGCCAAUCAAGUCCGACGUGAAAUUCCUCGGCUCAACCGAGGGCCUGCGUCGGAUACUGCUUGGCUUGAGUCCCGGAGAGGGUAGUGGAAUUCCCAGUGUAGCGGUGAAAUGCGUAGAUACUGGGAGGAACACCGGUGGCGAAGGCGGCUACCUGGACGGGUACUGACGCUGAGGCGCGAAAGCUAGGGGAGCAAACAGGAUUAGAUACCCUGGUAGUCCUAGCUGUAAACGAUGGGCACUUGGUGUUGCGGGUAUCGACCCCUGCAGUGCCGAAGCUAACGCAUUAAGUGCCCCGCCUGGGGAGUACGGUCGCAAGGCUGAA